rnacentral:lncRNA from 10 species
GGUUGGGGAGAAAGCCGGAGAGAUGAUGAGAAAAGCUUUAUUGAAGCUUAACUAACAUUGACUACUGUGUUAGGAUUAGUCAUUGCUGACUGUGCCAGCCUGCAGCCUCAUAAUCAGAGCCUUGUCACCAAGCAUGGCUGCCUCAGUGACUGGAAUGGAAAUGAAAAUAAAGCAAGUGUUAUUUUCCUCAUCCUGAAGCAACAGAGAACUGCAUCAGGCUUACCAACAUGAACGUGGGUAAGAAGGAGUUUUGAAGUCCAGCAAAGAUUUUAUAGCUAGUGAGGCUGGCUGGAAGCAGGGUCGAUCUGGUCUGAUGUGUUGCAAGAUGUGAACUUAUUAAGGCAUCACAGAGGCAACUCCCAGCGGGGGUGGAGGAGAGCAGCAGGGAUGGAAAGGAAGAAGACUCUCAAGAUAGGAUGCUCCAAAGGAUGAUUGGAAGAGAAGGGUGAUGUCUGGAAGCGAUAAGCCUCAGAUGUUUGUUUGCACCUUACUGGAAAGCCAUGUAAAUUAAUGGAAACUUCCUGGCAAAAUAGCUUGACUUGUAGCAACUUCACAACCAUAACAAUCCAGAGGUGAGGUUUGCCCGCACCCUAUUCAUUUCAAUCCCGAAGGCAAUUUUCCCCUUGGCCAGAGAGAAGCUCAAGAACAAAAAACCAAACACCGCAUGUUCUCACUCAUAGGUGGGAAUUGAACAAUGAGAACACAUGGACACAGGAAGGGGAACAUCACACUCUGGGGACUGUUGUGGGGUGGGGGGAGGGGGGAGGGAUAGCAUUAGGAGAUAUACCUAAUGUUAAAUGACAAGUUAAUGGGUGCAGCACACCAGCAUGGCACAUGUAUACAUAUGUAACUAACCUGCACAUUAUGCACAUGUACCCUAA